GAAAAAAUUCUUUAUUCAACAAUAAUCAGGUCCUACAUUCACGAGCUUAAUAAAAACCACAAAAUAGAGAUACAUAACACAGUCAGGUAAGUGUUUUAAAGAAAAUGAACAGGCCCAAGAGGGUUCUUUCUGGUAUGAGGAGGGGACAAGUACUCGAAGGACAAGUAAUGAAGGGUGAAUGUCAGCAGAAGAAGAAGCAUGUGACACGAUCCUGAGGUGGCAGCAAGGUGUGGCGUAGCUGGAGCGUGGAAACUCUGGGGAGAGUGGCGGGGCGUGAGUUGAGGGCCGCGUCAGAGCCGGUCAAGGUCAGGUUGGGAACAGGGGCAGAGCAGGAGGCCUUGUAGCCCUGCUAAGGACUUUAGGUUAGGGUUAGCUGGAAGCUGUCACAGUAGACCAAACAAGAGACGGCAGUGGCUUACAGGGAAGAAGGCAUCUGAGACGUUAAGAACGACGGUCAGGAUACAGCUCAGUUAGGAUUGCUAAUGGUUUGGAGGCAGGAGAAAGAUGGGUGUCACUGUUUUGAACACAUUAAGGCCUGACAUUCAAGCAGUAAAGCUAGACAGGUAAUUGGUUAGAGAUCUCUGGUGUUCAGGGGAGAAGUUAAGGCUAGAGAUAAUGUCAAAAGUUACCAGAGUAUAAUUAAGGCCAUGGAAUGGAUGACAUCACCCAGAGAAUAAGGAAAGUUCUAGAAGAAUCUGAGAGGGCUCUGCCAUUACUCCCAUCAACCUAAAGGCUAUUCAGAGGAGGAGCCAGCAGGGGGCAGUAUGUCAGGCAUGAUCCGAGAGUGAAGUUGUCAGCUAAGACUGAAAAGGAAAGAAGGGAUUUUGAGAUGCCAACGCUCACCACGACUUCUGGUUCAUUUGGAAAUGAACUGACUGAGGGAAAUAUGUGAUUGCCACGCAGCCACCAAGAGCCUUGGGGAAGUUCAAAGUAGUAAAUUUAAAGGUCAGUCCACAGGGUUGCUAGUGUCCUCAUCAUUUAUCUGGCUUUGCUUGUUUUUGAGACAGUCUUGCUAUGUAGUCCAGGCUGGCCUCAAACUUCCGGUGAUCCUCCUGCCUCUGCUUCCCGAGUCAUGUAUCUGUUUUUCAAGUGCAGGUGAGGGCAGGAUUUGACCAGGCGAGAACGAUGGAGAGGGGUGGGAGCUGGGGAGUUCUGCACGUGCGUGUGGCACUGCAGACCGAGCGCGGGAAGGAAGUGAGAGGAAGACACGGUAGUGUAUGAUGAAGUCUCAGAAUCAAUGGGUCACAGGCCCUUUGAAGCUGAAUCUCUGGGAAAAUGGGACAGAACGUAGUGAGCUAGAAAGAUAGGACAUAAUUAGAGAUUAGUGUUAGAAAUAGAUCCUAGCAACGGCCCAACAAUUGACAAGACGUGGGGUGGUGGCUGCCUAAAAUGGCUGAAAAACAAGAUCCUUCCAAGCAGGACAUGGAAGAACUGACGCCAAGCAGACUGUUCUCGGGAAAUCAACCUCUGCGCACGAUGCCCAGGUGCUGGUGGAAAGCAGGAACUAGAGCAGCUUUGCCAGCUAAGUUGAGGAGAGAACAGAGUUUCAGGAGAUGACAGGAGGCUCGCGGCAUGCAAACCCCCUUGGGGACGCCCAGCUCUGGCUGGGUGGGCUUCUGGGCAGGGGAC